ACUCGGGCACGAUCCUCACCCAGCGUGUGGAACCGACCCGUAGUCCAACCCUGAGGGA
ncrna:Corynebacterium aurimucosum L31-Corynebacteriaceae ribosomal protein leader